AUUGGGCCUCUAAUGGAUCAGACCGGUUAUUGACAUCCAUCAAUUGAUUUAUAACACUCUCCCUUGGAUGCCAUAACCAUACAGAGUCGUAAUACGCUUUGGAUGUUGCCUCAUUAAAACCUUAUCAGGAAAACCCAGUGGGACAAAAACCAUGAUGAAGGAAAAAGAGUACAACACGUAUUACUCCCCCUGAUGUGAACCUCAGUGAAGGUCUUUCAGUCGACGCAUCCCAAUAUGAUGUGUGAGCUUUCUGAAUGUAGAAGUCGGAAGUGACUUAGUGAAUAGGUCAGCUGAAUUUUCGCUGGACCGUAUCUGGACGACAUGGACCUCGCCGGCUUUCUGAAGCUCAUGCGUGAAGAAGAACUUAGGCAAUAUGUGCUUCG
rnacentral:lncRNA from 1 species